AGAGUUUGAUCCUGGCUCAGAACGAACGCUGGCGGCAUGCCUAACACAUGCAAGUCGAACGAAGCCUUCGGGCUUAGUGGCGCACGGGUGCGUAACGCGUGGGAACCUGCCUUUAGGUUCGGAAUAACAGUUAGAAAUGACUGCUAAUACCGGAUAAUGUCUUCGGACCAAAGAUUUAUCGCCUUUAGAUGGGCCCGCGUUAGAUUAGGUAGUUGGUGGGGUAAUGGCCUACCAAGCCGACGAUCUAUAGCUGGUCUGAGAGGACGAUCAGCCACACUGGGACUGAGACACGGCCCAGACUCCUACGGGAGGCAGCAGUGGGGAAUAUUGGACAAUGGGCGAAAGCCUGAUCCAGCAAUGCCGCGUGUGUGAAGAAGGCCUGCGGGUUGUAAAGCACUUUCAGUAGGGAAGAUAAUGACGGUACCUACAGAAGAAGCACCGGCUAACUCCGUGCCAGCAGCCGCGGUAAUACGGAGGGGGCUAGCGUUGUUCGGAAUUACUGGGCGUAAAGCGUGCGUAGGCGGACUGGAAAGUUAGAGGUGAAAUCCCGGGGCUUAACCCCGGAACUGCCUUUAAAACUAUCAGUCUAGAGUUCUGGAGAGGUAAGUGGAAUUCCUAGUGUAGAGGUGAAAUUCGUAGAUAUUAGGAGGAACACCAGAGGCGAAGGCGGCUUACUGGACAGAUACUGACGCUGAGGCACGAAAGUGUGGGGAGCAAACAGGAUUAGAUACCCUGGUAGUCCACGCCCUAAACGAUGUCAACUAGCCGUUGGGUUCAUUUAAGGACUUAGUGGCGCAGCUAACGCGAUAAGUUGACCGCCUGGGGAGUACGGUCGCAAGAUUAAAACUCAAAGGAAUAGACGGGGGCCCGCACAAGCGGUGGAGCAUGUGGUUUAAUUCGAUGCAACGCGAAGAACCUUACCUGGCCUUGACAUCCUGCGAACUUUCUAGAGAUAGAUUGGUGCCUUCGGGAACGCAGUGACAGGUGCUGCAUGGCUGUCGUCAGCUCGUGUCGUGAGAUGUUGGGUUAAGUCCCGCAACGAGCGCAACCCUUGUCCUUAGUUGCCAGCACAUAAUGGUGGGAACUCUAAGGAGACUGCCGGUGAUAAACCGGAGGAAGGUGGGGAUGACGUCAAGUCAUCAUGGCCCUUAUGGCCAGGGCUACACACGUGCUACAAUGGUCGGUACAAAGGGUUGCCAACCCGCGAGGGGGAGCUAAUCUCAAAAAGCCGAUCUCAGUCCGGAUUGGAGUCUGCAACUCGACUCCAUGAAGUCGGAAUCGCUAGUAAUCGUGGAUCAGCAUUGCCGCGGUGAAUACGUUCCCGGGCCUUGUACACACCGCCCGUCACACCAUGGGAGUUGGCUGCAAAAGAAGUGGGUAGUUUAACCUUCGGGAGAACGCUCACCACUUUGUGGUUAAUGACUGGGGUGAAGUCGUAACAAGGUAGCCGUAGGGGAACCUGCGGCUGGAUCACCUCCUU
rnacentral:rRNA from 2 species